rnacentral:rRNA from 1 species
AGAACGAACGCUGGCGGCAUGCCUAAUACAUGCAAGUCGAACGAACUCUUCGGAGUUAGUGGCGCACGGGUGCGUAACGCGUGGGAAUCUGCCCCUUGGUUCGGAAUAACAGUUGGAAACGACUGCUAAUACCGGAUGAUGACGAAAGUCCAAAGAUUUAUCGCCAAGGGAUGAGCCCGCGUAGGAUUAGCUAGUUGGUGAGGUAAAGGCUCACCAAGGCAACGAUCCUUAGCUGGUCUGAGAGGAUGAUCAGCCACACGUGGGACUGAGACCACGGCCCAGACCUCCGUACGGGAGCAGCAGGUAGGGAAUACGUGGAACAGUGGGACAAAGCCGUAGACUCCAGCAAGUCGCCG